GGCUCACUCAUCACUCCCUCAGCACCUCGGCCCUCUGCAGUCUGCGUCUGCCCCCUCUUCCAGGUCCCAGCGCUGUCUAGAUCCAGAUGGGAGCUCCACCGCUGCCCUUCUCCCUGCCCCACGCCGCUCUCCUCUGAUCCCGCACUCCCCGAAGUCCCCACUGCCGGCGCGAUCCCCGCAUUCCCUACCGCCUGCUAGCCCCACCACCCGCUGAAGCCGUCCAUACAGGCCAUUGCGCUGCCCGGAAUCCCGGCGUGAACAGCCGUUGCUGCAGUGCGGCCUGGAGCUCCGCCUGUUCCCCGCUUCCGCCCGCCACCGCCUUUCAUAAAAACAGCCCCUCCUCCUGCGCCUGGAGUGCGGAGCCGUCACCGCUGUCUCUCUCCACGGGACACGCCGCCGCCGGGAGGGAAGAACCCGACUCCCGGGCUUGAAGUUGCCGCACCCCCGCCGUCCGACGUACACAGUGGGAUGUACUACAUUGGUCUGCUUGGACAGCAGUUCUCUUUUUAAUUUGUAAAUAUCUCUCUCGUUCUUCAGUUAUGGCCACUAUAGUUGAAGGGUGUGUUGGUCCCAGUGAGCUUCACCUGAAGAAGGAACUUAUUGCCUUGAGAAAGGCACGUUUCUUGCGUGAUCCCGAAACAUGCUCAUCCUGGAGGUCCCCGUUAAGCUCUAAAUCAUUCUUGUCAACUUCUGGUGUUAUAAAUCAUAAUGAGGUAGGCAGUAGUUUGUCAGAAAAGCGCACAGAGCCAGCUGCAGCACCAGUCAAAAGUGAAAAGAAAAGAAAAAACGUUUAUCUCUACAACUGGAGACAUCAUUCUAACAAAUCUAGUGAAAGUGGAGUGAAGUUAGAUGUGGACGAUAGACAAGCCUCAGUAGACUGUAGUCUGGAAAGCCCGUGUAUUUCUAACGGUAUGGACUCUAGGAGUGACACAUGUCUUGAAGUUCCUGUCAGCAUAUACAGUGUUCAAGGUUCUAAUUCAUGCACUCCUGUUAAAAGAACUGUUAGAAGGGUAAGGAGGAGUUCAUUCUCAAAGAAAGGAGCUAUGAGAAAUUCUACUGUUUCAAAGUUGCUAGAUCUCCAUGUGAAUUCUGCUGAGCAGUCUGAGGAUACUGAGAACUACAACUCAGAGACUCAUGAGCACCUUCAGAAAGUAGGGUAUUUUUCUCACUCUACAUCACCACUGUUUGCUGCAUCAGGGUGUUUUAGCUCAACAAAUCCUUCUAAGCUGUUGAGAGUGCCAAGAAGAGAAGGAUCUUCCUUCUCUUGUACUCCGGUCUCCACUAGCUCCUAUUACAGGUACAAAGGGAGGAAUCCUAGUACUGUAGGUUCAUGGGAUGGAACAACUGCUGCUUCACUUGAUGACGAUGGGCUGAACCAACCAGAACUGUUGACAAAUCAGAGGUGUGGUAUUCCUUGUUAUUGGUCAAAGAGGAGUAAACACAAGGGAUCUGAAAGGAGUUGUUCUCCUUCACUUUCUGAUACACUUAGAAGAAAAGGCACCAGUCUAUUGUGUGGGAGUCAAACUAUGCAUGGGAGAAAGAAAUCAUCAGGCUCCAAUAAAUAUGGAUAUCUUAAAAAAUCUUCCCAAGGUGUACCACUGUUGGGUGAUAGUAGUCAUUUUGCUUAUUCGUCAUUUGAUUCAGCUAGUGAUGAAGUUUCAACCAUCUUUGGAGAAUUAGAUCUGGAAGCUUUGAGCCGUUUGGAUGGCAGAAGGUGGUCAAGCUGUAAAAGCCAGGAUGGGAUUGCACUGUCUGUGAGUGGAGCUGAUCAUGUAGUUUCAGAUCACAGAAGCUUGAGCCAAAAAUAUCGACCAAGGUCAUUUCUAGAAAUUGUUGGUCAAAACUUUGUUGUACAGUCACUUAGUAAUGCUAUCGCAAGGGAAAGAAUAGCUCCAGCAUAUCUGUUCCAUGGGCCCCGCGGGACAGGGAAAACAUCUUCUGCAAGAAUACUUUCAGCAGCUUUAAGUUGUACUGCUACUGGAGAGACCAAGCCCUGUGGAGUUUGUACUGAGUGCAGUGACUUUUUCACUGGAAAUGGAACUAAUCUAAUUGAGGUUGAUGCUACCAACAGAAAAGGUAUAAACAGAGUACGCCAUUUGAUUGAAAAUAUACCAGCAUCUGCAACUUCUUCACGGUACAAAGUAUUUGUCGUGGAUGAAUGCCAUAUGGUAUCUUCUAAAGUCUGGUCGGCAUUUAUGAAAUUUCUUGAUGAACCAUUACCUCGCGUUGUCUUCAUAUUUAUAACAAUAGACCCUGAAAAUCUUCCCCGUUCUGUCGUAUCACGUUGUCAAAAGUACAUGUUCUCCAAGAUCAAAGACAUUGACAUAGUAUGCCGGCUGAGGAAGAUUGCUAUGAAGGAAAACCUUGACGUUGAAUUGGCUGCUCUAGAUUUAAUAGCACUAAAUUCAGAUGGAUCAUUGAGAGAUGCGGAGACAAUGUUAGAUCAGUUGUGUUUACUAGGGAAGAAGAUAACACCAUCACUUGUAAAUGAUCUGGUUGGGGUUGUGUCUGAGGAGAAACUCCUUGACCUAUUGGAGAUAGCCAUGUCAUCAAACACUGCUGAAACAGUCAAAAGGUCGAGAGAGCUGAUGGAUUCUGGUGUUGAUCCAAUGGCAUUAAUGUCACAAUUAGCUGGGCUCAUAAUGGACAUCAUUGCUGGGACCUAUAGAUUGGCAGACCCUACAUGCGGUGGAGAUGGAAUUGGUGGUCGAAAUAUAACUGAUGCUGAAUUGGAAAGAUUACAACAAGCGUUGAGGAUUCUUUCUGAUGCUGAAAAACAGAUAAGACUUUCAAGCGAGCGUUCGACAUGGUUCACUGCUGCUUUACUCCAGCUUGGUUCCGGUCACAAUUCAGAAAUAACUCAAUCAAGAAGCAGCAGUAAGCAAAGCGCUAAGGCAACCAGCGAAACCAUGAUGGAAGCAAUGAGAGAAUCUUCUGCAAGCAGGAGUACAGCUCAUCAUUUAUCCACUUUUCCUGAUUCAAAGAAAAUAGUGGAUCUGAAAACAACCAGUGGGCACUCCAGUCCUCAUGCUUCACUGUCCUCCAGGAUGAGACACAAUGAAAACAUGAUUUAUGCCGAGCAUAUGUCUGUUGAUAGAGCAUUAUUGGAUUCUGCUCAAACAAGUAUUUCUUCUGAGCAAAAGGGUAUGCAUAGUGGAAUCUCAGAUAACCUUACCCGAAUUUGGAUGAAGUGCAUAGAGAAUUGCCACUCCAAGACAUUGCGGCAACUUCUCUAUGAUCAUGGGAAAUUAACAUCUGUCAAAGAAUGUGAAGGUACCAUUGUUGCUUUUAUAGCAUUUGAGGACAAUGAUAUAAAGUUUCGAGCCCAAAGAUUUAUUAGCAGCAUCAGAAAUUCAAUGGAAACUGUACUGAAAUGCAAUGUGGAAGUCAGGAUUUGUUUGAUGCAAGAAUUUCUUGCUGGGGGACUAAAGCAUGAGACAUACCCAGAUGAGACAGCUGAAUCUGAUGUCUUGAGUUGUUCAACGAACAGUGAACGUCGAAAGGGUGUUCUGAAUCUAUCAGGUGCUGGUGGAGUGCAGCCAAACAAUGUUCCCAUGAUCAUCUCUGAGGAAACUUCAGGAAUGCAUAGAACAAGAGGGCAGGAUGUUUCUAUUGAACAGUUGAAGGUAUCAGCUUUUGAUGAACAAAGGUUAGAGAGUGCAUGGCUCCAGGCUGCUGAAAAACCCAUGCCUGGUAUGUUAAAUCAAGGUAGACCUGAGAGAAAUCAAAUUCUUCCACAAAAUGGUGGUCAGCAUCAUGGUAGGUCCUCAAUGGCCACCGUUGUUCCGUCAAGGCAUGUUGACAAGGAUCUAUCUAAUGAACUGAAAGCCUUAAAGAUCAGUGACAGUCAUGGACCCCAUAAUGGUCAAGAUGUACAGAUGGAGAGUGGUUAUGCCAUUUCACCAAGCCUUUUGCAUAGAAAUAACCAUUUGGCAAAUUGUGACAAUGAGAGCGUUGUUUCUGAGUCCGGAGCACCCGGUUGCCAUGGGCUGUUCCCAUGCUGGAAAACUGAAAAAACGAAAAGGAGAAAGGGAAAAGGGCAGACACGGUUGAGGUCAUCUUAAGUUGGCAAUUGACGACGAUAAAAGGAGCAUUGUGGCCCUGGAUUGUAGAGGAACAUUUGAAGAGAUGCACGUGCCUCACGAAACUGCCUUACUUCAUUUCUUCUAGAGGAUUUAUGAAGACCAAUUCGUUAUUCCAUGCAUUUAAUGCUGCCGCUGAGGGUUCAGCAUUCUCUACGCGUGGACUCAGCAGAGGGUGAUAAAAAGUUGCAGAGAUGUUGGACAUGCGGAUUUUAACAAGCCAUUCUGAUCCAUCUAUGCUUCUUGUACAGACAUUUGGAUGCUGAGGCGUAUACGUGAAGCGGUCAGCAAAAUUAGGAAACAUUGAACAAAGGAAGACCUUGCGUCGAUAAGCUGUGGUUUUAUCAAGUUUGUACAAAAACUGCAAUCAACUGUGGUGUUGACGUUGCUGUAGGCCCUAUUUGUUUCCUUGAUAAGGUGAUAAUGGAUCACAAUCCAAAUAUUUAUUGACAAUAAGUUAAAGACUUUAAAUAAGUUUAGUUUAAAAAUAAAUGGAAAUAGAAUCUGAUUCUAGAUCCUUAAAUUUUAUAGUAUAAAAUUUAUAACUCAUUACCACCUUUAUUUUUAGGAUUAUAUAAUCUAGCUUGUGAAUUAUUUAAGUACCUAUUGACCUGCUUAUGGAUUAUCAUAGUUUAGAUAUCUAGAAUACAUAAUUCACCUAAUAAUCUGUGUUGUUUAUUUACCUUUCAAUUUAUUUAAACUAGAUUAUAUAAUCUAGAGGUUAAACAGGGCCUUAAUAAGCCGUGUUUAUCUCACCAUAAAACACAUAAUAUAUAUGUUGGGGACCUUCGGCGUCCGAAGGUCCUCAAAAACAUGAUUUAAUAGUGUUUCUGGAGUAUAAUGUGCAAACAGGUAUCUUCGGACUCGAAUCGGUAUCACAGAGGGAGAAGCUCAAAGCAUACGAAGGUUGAUACAGCACCGAAGCUGUGAGCAGAAAAGCUUCGGCAUGGUGGCAGGAAAGGAAACCGACUUAAAGAUGAAAAGGCUAUUCGGACCUCGAUGGAUUACUAUAGAGUUAUUGUCAGAUGUAAAGGGCAUAAAUGUAAUUUUGUAAGGGCUGUGUCCCGUGUCUAUAAAUAGGUGAACAGUAUCCCCGUACUGUUCACGCUGACUUGGCAUUUGCUUUUGCGUCACGCUUGUACUUUUUACCUUCUCUCAGGACCGAAGGUACAUUUGUAAUUUGAAAUCAUUUCUAUUUUUCCAUGUUAAUAAAAUAGAAAUGAUUCUAUGA